CUCUUCCUCCUCCUCCUCCCUGCCGGGGUGAAACUCCAGCGCCGCACCCGCGCCUGACCUCCCCGAGCCCCGCCCCUUCCCGGUACGGGACCCCCACCUUCGCUCCCGGGAGCCCCGCUGCACCCCAGAGUUCCAUUCCUGCUUCCCCAGUGCGAGUGCGGCCGAGCGCUGACUUUUGGGGGCUCCCUUCCCCGUCUCACUGGGUCCCUCUGCGGCUCCCCCGCCCGCUGUCCCGCCUCAGACGUGGCUGCACCCCGGAGCGGGGCGCCGGCCGAGACCUGAGACGUGGCGAUGCCGCUCUGCCGGCCUCGGCUCCAGUGCUUGAAUUUUAGCCACAUCCCUAAGCUGUCAUCUCAGACCAGAGGAACAGGGAGGGGCUUUCUGGAAAGAACAUCACCUGGAAGAAAUCAGGACAUGACUGUGGGCCAUGAGUGACCUUCAAGGAAAGCCAGGUAUCUGUGGUAUUUAAGAUGUGGUAAGAUUGUAUUAAAAUUAUAGAAAAAACCUCAAUCCAGAAAUCGUGGCCUCUUGACAUUUACAUCUUAACUGGAUUUUCCUGCCAAUGAGACACAUUACAAUCAUCCUCCAUGAGUGUUAUCUUUUUACCCAUCUUCAUUCUUUUAGAUCCGUGACAUUUAAGAACUGAAGAAACGAAAAGAUCGUCUGAUCAGUCCCAUCAGUCUUUUUCCUAAUGCUAAACAUUGGUACAAAGAUGUGAAGUUUGAUGUCUCACUAAGACUGCCUAGUGCUGCUUUAUUGCUCACCUACUUCAAAGUAUUGGGAAAACAUGAUUAUGGGUACAGGUGAGGCUGGGUUGCACCCAAACAGGUUUCUUUUGUCACAUUCUUUUGAUGGAUUAGGAAUCUACAAGUGGGGAGAUUUUAGGGAAAUAGUCCCUACACUUGGAUUUUCUUUAGGUCUUUAGGGUUCUCUUACCCCAAGAAACACGCAUUCCUCUUUAGUGUAGCAGCCCACUCUAUUGGCAAAGUUAAGCAGACUAGUUUUAUUUAAAAAGAGCCACCCAGAACCUUAGACAGACAGAAAAUACUUGAGGCACAGAUGAGAGUGAGCACAAAUGUGCAUAGCACGUGCAGUUUCCUGGCCCUUAAACUGAAGGGCCACGUCAGUCUGCUCCUCCAGGCACAGCCUGGGACCCCAUCAUGUGCCCGGCUCUGCAGUCUGAGCUUCUACUCAAGUCCACCAAGGCCUGCCUCACACAGCCCAUGUCUGGUCAGAGGGUUGCACUUUGCCACUGCCAUAUGUUCCCAGAGGUUGGCACAGCAUGACCUGGACCUCACCUAACCCAGGCAAACUCGGCUCAUCUUUGAGCUCUCUGGAACCCAUUUCUCACGGAAGAACCACAUUUCCGCACCUCACAGCCACGUUCAAGGAAGCGGCCUGGGUAAAGCAAUGACUCAAGGAUACAACAAGCAGACCACACAAUUAACAAGAUGUGCUGACUCGCAGGAGCAGCUGGGGGAGGGUAGGUGUCGUUUUCCCUGUUUAUUUUUUUUCUUAAGAAGAGUUUACUGAUUCUUCUUUCAGUACGGGCCUUUUAAUAAGAUACUGUGCUUUACUUCAGCUAUGUGUGCAGAAAAUUAAAGGAUUCUAGAAGUCUGAAA